GACGAACGCUGGCGGCGUGCUUAACACAUGCAAGUCGAACGGAAAGGCCCUGCUUUUGUGGGGUGCUCGAGUGGCGAACGGGUGAGUAACACGUGAGUAACCUGCCCUUGACUUUGGGAUAACUUCAGGAAACUGGGGCUAAUACCGGAUAGGAGCUCCUGCUGCAUGGUGGGGGUUGGAAAGUUUCGGCGGUUGGGGAUGGACUCGCGGCUUAUCAGCUUGUUGGUGGGGUAGUGGCUUACCAAGGCUUUGACGGGUAGCCGGCCUGAGAGGGUGACCGGCCACAUGGGGACGGAGAUAGGCCCCGGCCGCCUGCGGGGGGAAGCGGUGGGGAAUUGUGCACAUGGGGGGGAGGCUGGAGGCAGCACCCCCGCGUGCGGGAGGCCGGCUUUCGGGUUGAAACCCGUUUUCCCCUGUGAAGAAGGGGGGGGGAGGGUAAUGGGUAAAAAACCCCCGCCAAACUCGGUG
rnacentral:rRNA from 1 species